AUGCAUGACUUCUUAGGAAACCCAAACUUGGAUAGAGAAGGAAGUCAUAGAGGUGAUGGUCUAAUUUCAGUCUCAAAUGCCAUUGCAGUUGGAGGCAGGAAACAGAGGAAAGAAGAAGCCAGAGGGGCUAGCGCUCAGUCUGCAGUCAUGUCUCUUGGCCCCAGAAGAUUUGAAGUCAGAAUGAUUCGGGGAGAGAAUUUUCAUCAUAUCCCUUUUCUCCACCUUCCUCUUCAUUUAAUUACAAUAGAGGAGUCCUGGAUUUUCCUUUUCAGUAGAAUCAGUGUUUUAAAAAAGGAUUUUUCUCACCCUGUUUCACAUCUUUUACCUUUUAUUCUGGCUGGGUUUUUUCUGGUCAAUUCAUGCUGAAAUAAUAGGCAUUCUCAUAAACCAGGAAAAAUGUUGCCCUCCAAAUUGUUGACAUUGAAAAUGUCAGUUGCCUUUCUGUCUUUGAACUUCCAAGAGCAAAACUCAUCUAUGUAGUCAUUAUGCCACUGAACAUUUGUAACGGGCUAGUUUAUAUAGUAGCAGAAAGAAGGUGUUCAUACCCAUAAUUCCCUCUGACAUUUAUGUUGCCUGUUCAUUUACCGCCCUUACCAUUUUGAAAAUGCAUCCUUCAGUUUAACACAGUUUAUUGAAUAUCCAUUCCGUUUAGUCUGCACUUGUGGCAGAAAACAAACAGCAAUUGGUGUCUUGGCUCUAUUACAUUUUCUGACAAGUGGGAAAUAUCUGUUUGUGAUGCAAUAAAUACUUGGUUCUAAGUAAUUCAGGAAAUUGGCUUAUUUANNNNNNNNNNNNNNNNNNNNNNNNNNNNNNNNNNNNNNNNNNNNNNNNNNNNNNNNNNNNNNNNNNNNNNNNNNNNNNNNNNNNNNNNNNNNNNNNNNNUUCAGGAAAUUGGCUUAUUUAGCUUUCACUCUGCAGGGAUGCACAGAGGGAGCAAUUUUCACCCAUCAUUGAUUCCACACUGAAAUAUGUUAUGAUUGUGUAUGCCCACAGCUGGAGGAACUUAGUGGUGAUAUGAGUGAGCUAGCAGUUCAUGAAAAUGCUGUUCCGAAUCAGUGCAAAACUAGCAAUGAUCUUACUGCUCACCUUUGUUGCUGGAGCUGGUUCUUGUUGGUUCAUGAGUGUCUACUAUUCAAAUAUUCAAGAAUUUUGUGAGAUGGAUGUUAAACCUUGUGAGACUUUGAAAUUGAGAGUAUUUACACCCCAGAAAUUGGCCAUCACUUCAUAUCAGGGCUCUUUUUUUUAAGAGCUUCUCACUGUCUAUGCUAUCUUAGUGGAGGAGAAUUACAAAGCAGAUGGCAAGCCAGAAAACAGGUUUCACAUGGGAGAGAGAAAGAGCACAAGUCAACUAGAAAUUUUCAAAGCAGUGGAUGACAAGGGUAUGUACAAUUUUCUGUAAAGGUACACAGGCAUAGCUUAGCACAUUUAAGCAUUGAAAAGACAGAGACCUGGCUAUUAGAUAAAUCAAGUACAGUGAUGAUUUAUGAAAGUGUCUCAAACAAGGCUUGUUUUCCUUUAAGUUGAAUUACACAGCAGAUUGCAAUGAUGAUCCCAAAGUGAACACAACUACAUAAGCACAAUCCAGAUUAUUAAGCAAAUUUUCUAGGAGAAAAUGGGACACGCUGAUAGAGAUUAAUGGAGUGGACAAUCCAGAAAGGCGCAUAGCAGUAGAGGUGGCUUGCAGCUUCACAACACAUUGAACAAGAAUUUAACCUAGACGUUACAACCUGCUCCAGGCUUUUAUUUUAAAAGAUGCUGCAAAUCAGUUUAGGAAGACUUUUUUUUUUUUUUUUUAGCUGUGCUGAUGAAUAUACGUUUAAAAGCUAAAUUUAGGGCUUUUCUCCUUUGAAGUUUGAAAGUGUUGCUUAGCUACUUUCCGCUGUUUUUUUGUGUCGUCUCUAAUUUAAUAUAAUUUCUUCAGCUGCAGAUGAGGAAAAUGGGCUGUUAUUAAUCUUCCGAGUUCAGUAGCACAUGCAAUGUGUAUAUUGCCAUUUGCUACUUUAUUAUUUAUUUAU
rnacentral:lncRNA from 1 species